rnacentral:rRNA from 1 species
AUACGGAGGACGCGAGCGUUAUCCGGAUUCAUUGGGUUUAAAGGGUGCGCAGGCGGCCGUGCAAGUCAGCGGUGAAAGCCCGGGGCUCAACCCCGGAAGUGCCGUUGAUACUGCAUGGCUGGAAUGCGGUCGAGGCGGCCGGAACGUGGCGUGUAGCGGUGAAAUGCGUAGAUAUGCCGCAGAACGCCGAUAGCGGAGGCAGCUCGCCAGGCCGGCAUGGACGCUCGGGCACGAAAGCGUGGGGAUCGAACAGGAUUAGAUGCCCGGGUAGUCCACGCCGUAAACGAUGGGCGCUCGUCGUCGGCGGCAGACAGUCGGCGGCCAAGCGAAAGCGAUAAGCGCCCCACCUGGGGAGUACGGUCGCAAGGCUGAAACUCAAAUGAAUUGACGGGG